CCUACGGGAGGCAGCAGUGAGGAAUAUUGGUCAAUGGGCGCGAGCCUGAACCAGCUAAGUAGCGUGAAGGAUGACGGCCCUACGGUUUGUAAACUUCUUUUAUAAAGGAAUAAAGUGAGGCACGUAUGCCUCUUUGUAUGUACUUUAUGAAUAAGAAUCGGCUAACUCCGUGCCAGCAGCAGCGAUAAUACGGAGGAUCCGAGCGUUAUCCGGAUUUAUUGGGUUUAAAGGGAGCGUAGAUGGGUUGUUAAGACAGUUGUGAAAGUAUGGGGCUCAACCGUAAAAUUGCAAUUGAUACUGGAAGUCUUGAGUACAGUUGAGGUAGGCGGAAUUCGUGGUGUAGCAGUGAAAUGCUUAGAUAUCACGAAGAACUCCGAUUGCGAAGGCAGCUUACUAAACUGCCACUGACAUUGAUGCUCGAAAGUGUGGGUAUCAAACAGGAUUAGAUACCCCUGUAGUC
rnacentral:rRNA from 1 species